GGCGCCAUAGCCAAGUGGUAAGGCAGAGGUCUGCAAAACCUUUAUCCCCAGUUCGAGUCUGGGUGGCGCCUCCA
rnacentral:tRNA from 3 species